ACCUUAGAGACCAACUAAAUUUGUUAUUGGUAUGAGCUUUCGUGUGCAUGCACACUUCUUCAGAUACCAUGUGCAUGCACACAAAAGCUCAUACUAAUAAGAAACUUAGUUGGUCUCUAAGGU